AAUGAACGUUGGCGGCGUGGAUUAGGCAUGCAAGUCGAGCGGGUGUAGCAAUACACCAGCGGCGAAAGGGAGAGUAAUACGUGGAUACCUACCCCCGGAUCUGGGAUAGCCUCGGGAAACUGAGGGUAAUACCAGAUAAUGUCUCCGGACCAAAGGUGUGAUUCCGUCCGAGGAGGGGUCCGCGGCCUAUUAGCUAGUUGGUGGGGUAACGGCCUACCAAGGCGAAGAUGGGUACGAGGCGUGAGAGCGUGUCCUCGCGCAUUGGGACUGAGACACUGCCCAGACACCUACGGGUGGCUGCAGUCGAGAAUCGUCGGCAAUGGGCGCAAGCCUGACCGAGCGACGCCGCGUGCGGGAUGAAGGCCUUCGGGUUGUAAACCGCUGUCAGUAGGGAGGAAAGGUUUGGGGGUUCUCCCCCAGAUUUGACCUAUCUGCAGAGGAAGGACGGGCUAAGUUCGUGCCAGCCGCCGCGGUAA
rnacentral:rRNA from 1 species